GACGAACGCUGGCGGCGUGCCUAAUACAUGCAAGUAGGACGCACAGUUUAUACCGUAGCUUGCUACACCAUAGACUGUGAGUUGCGAACGGGUGAGUAACGCGUAGGUAACCUGCCUAUUAGAGGGGGAUAACUAUUGGAAACGAUAGCUAAUACCGCAUAACAGUAUGUAACACAUGUUAGAUGCUUGAAAGAUGCAAUUGCAUCGCUAGUAGAUGGACCUGCGUUGUAUUAGCUAGUAGGUAGGGUAAUGGCCUACCUAGGCGACGAUACAUAGCCGACCUGAGAGGGUGAUCGGCCACACUGGGACUGAGACACGGCCCAGACUCCUACGGGAGGCAGCAGUAGGGAAUCUUCGGCAAUGGGGGGAACCCUGACCGAGCAACGCCGCGUGAGUGAAGAAGGUUUUCGGAUCGUAAAGCUCUGUUGUUAAGGAAGAACGAGUGUGAAAAUGGAAAGUUCAUACUGUGACGGUACCUAACCAGAAAGGGACGGCUAACUACGUGCCAGCAGCCGCGGUAAUACGUAGGUCCCGAGCGUUGUCCGGAUUUAUUGGGCGUAAAGCGAGCGCAGGCGGUUAGAAAAGUCUGAAGUGAAAGGCAGUGGCUCAACCAUUGUAGGCUUUGGAAACUGUUUAACUUGAGUGCAGAAGGGGAGAGUGGAAUUCCAUGUGUAGCGGUGAAAUGCGUAGAUAUAUGGAGGAACACCGGUGGCGAAAGCGGCUCUCUGGUCUGUAACUGACGCUGAGGCUCGAAAGCGUGGGGAGCGAACAGG
rnacentral:rRNA from 1 species